GAACCAUCUCAUUGUUGGACUCCCUCCUCCCCCAUUUAAAUUUUCAUUUGGACAGCCCCUUAGUAGUGGUCACCAAGGGCCAAGCCUAUGAGGCCAGGCUGUGUUCUACGGGCGGACAGAGAAUGCCCCCUCCUCCCCUCUUCAUGGGGCUAACUCUGCCAGACUUGCUUGGAUAUCCACUGCUCUGAGCCGUGGACCUCAACUUCAUUCAGAAAUGGAGUGUCUGGACAUCAUUGUUCCUUUUGUAGUUCACUGGGAAAUCUCAACAUGCAAAUGGGAGGGAUCCCUGGGUGGCGCAGCGGUUUGGCGCCUGCCUUUGGCCCAGAGCGCGAUCCUGGAGACCCGGGAUCGAAUCCCACGUCAGGCUCCCGGUGCAUGGAGCCUGCUUCUCCCUCUGCCUAUGUCUCUGCCUCUCUCUCUCUCUGUGACUAUCAUAAAUAAAUAAAAAUUAAAAAAAAACAAACAUGCAAAUGGGAACCAGAAAAACAGUUUACUUGAGGGAAACAUGGCUCUUUUCUGUAUGCAAAAUAUAGUAAAAACCAUAUGCUCAUGGAAAAGUUGUUGAACUUGCAAUUUUAUUCUUUUUCUUAUUAAUAUUUAUUUCACCAUUUGCCAUUUGUUCACUUAUUUUGUGAAAAUCUCCACUCAAAAGUAGAUAAGCA